rnacentral:rRNA from 1 species
GAUGAACGCUGGCGGCGUGCCUAAUACAUGCAAGUCGAGCGAACAGACGAGGAGCUUGCUCCUCUGACGUUAGCGGCGGACGGGUGAGUAACACGUGGAUAACCUACCUAUAAGACUGGGAUAACUUCGGGAAACCGGAGCUAAUACCGGAUAAUAUAUUGAACCGCAUGGUUCAAUAGUGAAAGACGGUUUUGCUGUCACUUAUAGAUGGGUCCGCGCCGCAUUAGCUAGUUGGUAAGGUAACGGCUUACCAAGGCAACGAUGCGUAGCCGACCUGAUAGGAGGAUAAGCGACACUGGGAGUGGGACACGGCCCAGACUAGUACGGGAGGCAGGCGUGGGGAAUAUUGGAAAAUGGGGGGAAGGAUGAACAAGCCAUGACGUGUGAAGGAUAACAGCCUUAGGGUGGUAAAGCUCUCUUCUCCGGGACGAUAAUGACGGUACCGGAGGAAUAAGCCCCGGCUACCUUCGUG